CAAAUCAUGCGAAAAAUGAGAAUCAAGAGGUCUUUCAAGGGUUGUAAUAUGGCUUGGGUUACAAGAAAGGAUAUGAUUAAGAGAAUUCAACAAUGUUGCCUAUCCUAAGGGAGCAUUCCCAAACAUUCAACUUUACACAAUUUCCAUUUCUAUGAUCCUUAUCUUUUUCCUUUUCUUUUUCUUUUCACAUCCACACAACCAUGAGCAUUUUCCUUUUUUUUUUCUUUUUUUUCUUUUUCUUUGCUCUAUGGUUUCAAGGGUGAUUUCUUUUUCUUGUUUCUUUUCAUACUUUCACCCUUUCAUAAAAACUCACUUUUCC
rnacentral:lncRNA from 1 species